GAUGAACGCUGGCGGCGUGCCUAAUACAUGCAAGUCGAGCGAACGGACGAGAAGCUUGCUUCUCUGAUGUUAGCGGCGGACGGGUGAGUAACACGUGGAUAACCUACCUAUAAGACUGGGAUAACUUCGGGAAACCGUAGCUAAUACCGGAUAAUAUUUUGAACCGCAUGGUUCAAAAGUGAAAGACGGUCUUGCUGUCACUUAUAGAUGGAUCCGCGCUGCAUUAGCUAGUUGGUAAGGUAACGGCUUACCAAGGCAACGAUGCAUAGCCGACCUGAGAGGGUGAUCGGCCACACUGGAACUGAGACACGGUCCAGACUCCUACGGGAGGCAGCAGUAGGGAAUCUUCCGCAAUGGGCGAAAGCCUGACGGAGCAACGCCGCGUGAGUGAUGAAGGUCUUCGGAUCGUAAAACUCUGUUAUUAGGGAAGAACAUAUGUGUAAGUAACUGUGCACAUCUUGACGGUACCUAAUCAGAAAGCGACGGCUAACUACGUG
rnacentral:rRNA from 1 species